rfam:Firmicutes bacterium CAG:424 genomic scaffold, scf48
UGAUGUCAGGGUCAAAAGGUCAUGAAUCACGUUGUGCUUGCACAUAAGUGAUUUUAUGCCUUUAUGACCCGACCCAAAAUGAGGAUAAAAGUGGGGCGCAUGCACCACGAUAUCCGAAUUUGGGGCAGGAUUGUGGGAGCACAGCGUGCGGAACAAUCCGUCAGACAUCU